UACGAAGGGGGCUAGCGUUGCUCGGAUCACUGGGCGUAAAGGGUGCGUAGGUGGUGAGGUAAGUCGGAUGUGAAAGCUCGGAGCUCAACUCCGAAAUGGCAUUGGAAACUACCUUGCUCGAGGGUUGGAGGGGGGGACUGGAAUACUUGGUGUAGCAGUGAAAUGCGUAGAUAUCAAGUGGAACACCAGUGGCGAAGGCGAGUCCCUGGACAACUCCUGACACUGAGGCACGAAAGCUAGGGGAGCAAACAGG
rnacentral:rRNA from 1 species